CAAGAGCAAACUAAACUUAAUGAACCUCUUAACUCCUAGGUUCCCUGUCUCCUACUUCACCAGAUCUGUCUCUUCUCAUUUAGGUGGCCUUCAUCCCAGGAAAACCAUCUGUCUCACCAGGGAUUUUAAGACUAAGACUUUAAUGAGUGCUAACAUUAGAAGUGCAUGCAGACCUCUCCAACACAAAAUAACUGAGCCUGUCCUCAACCCUGUCUUCAGUGAACCUGAGAGCUUGAGAACACGGCUCAAAUGUGCACUCCCAUGCUUGCAGUGUGGGUGGACCAGGUC
rnacentral:lncRNA from 1 species